CCUACGGGAGGCAGCAGUGAGGAAUAUUGGUCAAUGGGCUUACGCCUGAACCAGCCAAGUCGCGUGAGGGAAGACUGCCCUAUGGGUUGUAAACCUCUUUUGUCAGGGAGCAACGCCGGCUACGUGUAGCCGGACUGAGAGUACCUGAAGAAAAAGCAUCGGCUAACUCCGUGCCAGCAGCCGCGGUAAUACGGAGGAUGCGAGCGUUUUCCGGAUUUAUUGGGUUUAAAGGGUGCGUAGGCGGAAUGCCAAGUCAGCGGUAAAAUCGCGGGGCUCAACCUCGCUCCGCCGUUGAAACUGGCGGUCUUGAGUGGGCGAGAAGUAUGCGGAAUGCGUGGUGUAGCGGUGAAAUGCACAGAUAUCACGCAGAACUCCGAUUGCGAAGGCAGCAUACCGGUGCCCAACUGACGCUGAAGCACGAAAGCGUGGGUAUCGAACAGGAUUAGAUACCCGUGUAGUC
rnacentral:rRNA from 1 species